CCACCACAGCCGCCAUGCCAGAGCCCCAGAUGUGGACUUUUCCUGCAGCUGGAGUAACAUCUAUGCAGAGAGUAAAUUUCAGUGGAGGUGGACGGGUGAGCCCGGUUCAGAUAGGGUCCAUGAUGGUUCACCAGGCGGUAGGAGGUCAGCAACUGGGGUUAGGAGUAGCAGAGAACAAUAUGGGGUUACUGGGUGAUGGUGCUAAUGCUUAUAGCAUUAGUAGGGUUGGAUUGGGGAUGAACUUAGAGCAACAUAAUCAAGAAAACCAACAACAAGGUAGUGA
rnacentral:misc_RNA from 1 species